rnacentral:rRNA from 1 species
UACGUAGGGCGCAAGCGUUGUCCGGAAUUAUUGGGCGUAAAGAGCGUGUAGGCGGCUGGGUAGGUCCGUUGUGAAAACUCGAGGCUCAACCUCGAGACGCCGAUGGAAACCCCCCAGCUAGAGUCCGGAAGAGGAGAGUGGAAUUCCCGGUGUAGCGGUGAAAUGCGCAGAUAUCGGGAAGAACACCCGUGGCUAAGGCGGCUCUCUAGUACGGUACUGACGCUGAGACGCGAAAGCGUGGGGAG